AUUGAACGCUGGCGGCAGGCCUAACACAUGCAAGUCGAACGAGUGGCGGACGGGUGAGUAAUGUCUGGGAAACUGCCUGAUCGAGGGGGCUAACUACUGGAAACGGUAGACAAAACCGCAUACCAUCGGAUGUGCCCAGAUGGGACAGGCUAGCAGGUGGGGUAACGGCUCACCUAGGCGACGAUCCCUAGCUGGUCUGAGAGGAUGACCAGCCACACUGGAACGGAGACACGGUCCAGACUCCUACGGGAGGCAGCAGUGGGGAAUAGUGCACAAUGGGCGCAAGCCUGAUACAGCCAUGCCGCGUGUGUGAAGAAGGCCUUCGGGUUGUAAAGCACUUUCAGCGGGGAGGCGUUACCCGCAGAAGAAGCACCGGCUAACUCCGUGCCAGCAGCCGCGGUAAUAC
rnacentral:rRNA from 1 species